UCCCAAUGACGAUUACAAGCUCAUCAAAUCUUUGUGUUCUAAAAUUAGUAGUCCUCCUGAGGCUAAUCCGGGCUGGAGAUGGUCAUAUUUUCAAGCGUGGUGGGAUCUUUCAUCAGAACAAGCCACAGAUCUGGACAAGAUUGAUGAACUUCAUGCGUGCCAACACCUUUUGCUGAUAUUCUCUGAUAUGCUUGGAGAAACGCCAGGGGAAUCUCAACAGGUGUUGCUUCGUAAAGAUUUUGACAUCACCCAUGUAUUAGAAUGGGAGAGAAGUUUAGUUGAGACCUAGUCAUUGACUUUGUAGGAUUGAUUUAUCCAAUUCAAUCAGUUUUGUUGUAUCAAUGACAAAAGUUGUUAUUGAUUCAUUCACAACAAUGUUCAGUUUUGUUGUAUAUCUAUGAGAAAUAUUAUGGAGCCA